GUAGUCGGCGAUGCUGAACCACCUCCUCGUGGUGCCGACUGGGCAGCUUUGGAGAAAUCCUAAGCUGGCUAAGAGUUCAGCAAC
rnacentral:ribozyme from 1 species